AUAUUACUAUUAUUUCAUGUCCAAAUGGAAGGUAAGAAUUGGGACCCGUUAGCCUCUAUCCCUAAUGCUUAGCACAAGGCCUGACGCAUUGUAGAUCUUCUCAUUGGAGUGUCUUUCCUGAACAGUGGGGAUCCCCGUUUCCAGAACAGUUUGGAUCAGCUGUGAGGAACUGGGUUGCUUUCCCCAGACCACAGAUCAGAACCCCAUUGGCUGUUUUCCUUCCAUCACCAGUUAAAGUCUCUAUAUAUUACCAGUCGAAGACCUUGUCUUCCGGGUGAUUGAUUAGUCAUUCAAGUAAACAUGGGCUCCAAAGGCUAUAUCCCAAGUGAUUCUGUUCAGUUUUUUAUCCUGACCUUUCAAUUUCCUUUCCCCAAUUACGGAUAUCUCUUGGGGAAGACAUUAUUGCUCUUAUACUCAUUUUCGUGUGAAGUGUGUCAAGUCUGUGUGUCAUCUUCCCAACCUGAGGGGUCAGCUCCUUGAGAACGAGGUGCCUGCCGCCUGAUUCCUCGUUCCUCCCCUCGACCACAGCAGACGCGGAGUUCGUGUCUGCUAAUGGCUCAUUUCAUUCCAGUUCCGCAGCCAGACUAGCGAGUUCGAAGCCAUGAGCACAAUUUGCAAUUGUGUCCUGUGAGAUGGACGGGAACACGUGAUGCCAUUUGGGCCGGGACCACAAAUGACUCAAAUUCUGAAGCAGUUUGUUCUCCUGGUGGGAUUCCUAAAGUCUCCAGAAUGACAGCUCUUCGAGAACAGGAGCUCCCUCCCUCCUGGUCACCACGGCAUCCCUGUGGCCUGGCAAGGCCUGAAGGACAUGACGAGAGGAUCCAGGGUGAGCGCGAAUCAGGGCUGCAGAGGAAGGGGGUCUGCCGGGGCCAGACUGUGCAGAACAGGAGAAAUUAGAAGAGGAACCCAAGGCAGAGAGGUCAAGCUUUGUCCCCAAGAUCUCUUGGCGUCCCAGAGAGGGAAGCCCCUUUGACAACGACCGUCCUCACUCUGGAGCCGGGACGCGACUCCCGCGUGGAAAGGUUCACAAGGGACCAUCCCCCUGGGAGCACUGUUCUGGGAGCACUAUUCUGACCACAACAGGUGGCGCAAAGUGAGUCUGACAGGAGCUUCAUGGCUCGAGAAUCCUGGCAGGUGUACAGGUGUUCCCCAAGUGACAGGCGACACCUGGAGACCUGACGGAGUGCCAGGCCCCACAGGGAGAUGCCCUGCGAUCUAGGUCUUCAAAGGAACCCCAGCCCAAGCUUAAAUCCAUCAUGCCUGAGCAAACGUGUCCUUCUUGGGAAGUACCCGUUCUGUUUAAGUGCCUUCUAUAUGCAAAGUUUGUCCUUUUAGCUAUUUUGUUAAAUGUUCAUAAUGGAUAAACUUCGAAAACUG